UCNCACUGUUUAAGGAUCUGCUUGAUGCUA
rnacentral:piRNA from 1 species